AGUGAACGCUGGCGGUAGUCCUAACACAUGCAAGUCGAACGGCAGCACAGUAAGAGCUUGCUCUUACGGGUGGCGAGUGGCGGACGGGUGAGGAAUACAUCGGAAUCUACCUUUUCGUGGGGGAUAACGUAGGGAAACUUACGCUAAUACCGCAUACGACCUACGGGUGAAAGCAGGGGAUCUUCGGACCUUGCGCGAUUGAAUGAGCCGAUGUCGGAUUAGCUAGUUGGCGGGGUAAAGGCCCACCAAGGCGACGAUCCGUAGCUGGUCUGAGAGGAUGAUCAGCCACACUGGAACUGAGACACGGUCCAGACUCCUACGGGAGGCAGCAGUGGGGAAUAUUGGACAAUGGGCGCAAGCCUGAUCCAGCCAUACCGCGUGGGUGAAGAAGGCCUUCGGGUUGUAAAGCCCUUUUGUUGGGAAAGAAAAGCAGCAGGUUAAUACCCCGCUGUUCUGACGGUACCCAAAGAAUAAGCACCGGCUAACUUCGUG
rnacentral:rRNA from 1 species